rnacentral:rRNA from 1 species
AGUGAACGCUGGCGGUAUGCCUAACACAUGCAAGUCGAACGGCAGCACAGUAAGAGCUUGCUCUUACGGGUGUCGAGUGGCGGACGGGUGAGGAAUACAUCGGAAUCUACUUUUUCGUGGGGGAUAACGUAGGGAAACUUACGCUAAUACCGCAUACGACCUCCGGGUGAAAGCAGGGGAUCUUCGGACCUUUCGCGAUUGAAUGAGCCGAUGUCGGAUUAGCUAGUUGGCGGGGUAAAGGCCCACCAAGGCCACGAUCCGUAGCUGGUCUGAGAGGAUGAUCAGCCACACUGGAACUGAGACACGGUCCAGACUCCUACGGGAGGCAGCAGUGGGGAAUAUUGGACAAUGGGCGAAAGCCUGAUCCAGCCAUACCGCGUGGGUGAAGAAGGCCUUCGGGUUGUAAAGCCCUUUUGUUGGGAAAGAAAAGCAGCAGGUUAAUACGCCGCUGUUCUGACGGUACCCAAAGAAUAAGCACCGGCUAACUUCGUG